CCGUAUCGAUUCGACGCGUAUAUCUGCACUCUGCAAAAAGCCUGUGUUUUGAAGUCUUCAAGAAGGUGAACUACAUCGUCUUUCUUUCUCAAUUUCUUUCAAUUUGCCUGCUAGCCACAGAGCAUGAGGUUUUUCGUUCUAUAUCAAGAAUUCAAGAUUGAACUCUCAGUUUCAUCGAUGCCAAUUUUGCAUUAAUUUCUGUGACUUUGUGUCGUCCUCUUACUUGUACUGGGGGGGUUCAUGUCCAGAAAUCAGAUUCAGAUCCUUGCCCUUUUCAAGAACAAUUGAAUUCUUCUGAGUUUUAGGAUUCCCCCCCCCCCCCCGUUUGGCUGGAGGGUCGGAGAAGUGCUCCGAUCUGAGAAAUGAUUACUCGUUCUAAGCUCGUCGAGCAACUUAGAGAAUAUCAGAUUCGAUCACAGCACAAGUGGGCAGCACUUAUUUUCUUCUCUCCGAAACCCCACAUCACUAACAGGGCUGAUGUCAUUGUGGCUUUCCUAUGGGCUCUACUGUUUAGUGUGCUUGUAGUGACCUCUUAUGUGACACUGUACUUGAAACACUUCCGAAUCUUGGUGGUGGUUAUAUGCUUCAGUAUCCUUCUUCCCACUUUCCUGCAUGUUUCUAGACAGAGGAGAUUGGCAAGGAAAAGGGAGAGAAGGUUGUUGCUACCCUUGUCAAUGUGAACAUUAUAUUUCUUAUGGAGAUUUACAAGGUUGUUGGCUCCUCGACUUGCGUCAGAAAGAGAUUUUUGCUUGCCCUUUAACCAUGUAGUUUGUACAAGUAGCUUUGAGGAAAGACACUCACCAGCUCCAUGGAGUUGAUGCUAUGGUUUCUUUUUUUUCUAUCAUCUUGGAUCUCAGACCUGUGAUAAUCUGACAACAGGGUCCUUUUGAUGUAAACACCAUACAUUUUAGAUCCAUACCAAUUGUAUUCUUUUGUCAUGGUGGGUUGUAAAAUUUCAGUCAGGUUUAAAGGUGGGUACUUCACUCAAGCGGAUCUUCUAUGGAGCAUUUCAUUUUCGAAGUUGAGAAAAACUGGCAUUGUAGCAGGAACUAAAAGUGAGAUGGUUAUCAAGCCCUGGG